GGCAAGAUGAUACUAAGUGUUGGAGGGUUUCCGCCCUUCAGUGCUGCAGCUAACGCAUUAAGUAAUCCGCCUGGGGAGUACGACCGCAAGGUUGAAACUCAAAAGAAUUGACGGGGGCCCGCACAAGCGGUGGAGCAUGUGGUUUAAUUCGAAGCUACGCGAAGAACCUUACCAGGUCUUGACAUCUUCUGCCAACCUAAGAGAUUAGGCGUUCCCUUCGGGGACAGAAUGACAGGUGGUGCAUGGUUGUCGUCAGCUCGUGUCGUGAGAUGUUGGGUUAAGUCCCGCAACGAGCGCAACCCUUAUUACUAGUUGCCAGCAUUCAGUUGGGCACUCUAGUGAGACUGCCGGUGACAAACCGGAGGAAGGUGGGGACGACGUCAAAUCAUCAUGCCCCUUAUGACCUGGGCUACACACGUGCUACAAUGGAUGGUACAACGAGUCGCGAAACCGCGAGGUUUAGCUAAUCUCUUAAAACCAUUCUCAGUUCGGACUGUAGGCUGCAACUCGCCUACACGAAGUCGGAAUCGCUAGUAAUCGCGGAUCAGCAUGCCGCGGUGAAUACGUUCCCGGGCCUUGUACACACCGCCCGUCACACCAUGAGAGUUUGUAACACCCAAAGCCGGUGGGGUAACCUUUUAGGAGCUAGCCGUCUAAGGUGGGACAGAUGAUUAGGGUGAAGUCUAAAAGGGGGAACCAAAAAAAGUGGUUAGUUCUCUUUUCAGGGGCA
rnacentral:rRNA from 1 species